GUUCGCUACAAUGUAUAUGUUUGUGUCUUUCCUUUGCAGAUAUGGGCUAUAGAGAGAUUACCGGCCCUACGAGAGUGUGUUAUUUCGUUUGUUCCCUCGCAAAUUCCACGCUUCAUUCAAUAUCGAGGCUGGAAGGGUUGGAGGUACAACAAAAUACAUGUAAUUUUUUAGAGUGAAGCUACUAUCUUAAUAAAGAACUUGGAACCCACCCUACGAGAAUGGGAAACGGACGCCGUUCGCUUGCUUCGUGAUAGUUUUCAGGU